rnacentral:rRNA from 1 species
UGAGCAAUCUGCCCUUCUCUUUGGAAUAAGCGUUGGAAACGACGUCUAAUGCCGAAUACGACCUCCUUUCGCAUGAUCGGAGGUGGAAAGCUCCGGCGGAGAAGGAUGAGCUCGCGGCCUAUCAGCUAGUUGGUGUGGGUAAUGGCCCACCAAGGCGACGACGGGUAGCCGGCCUGAGGAGGGUGACCGGCCACACGUGGGACUGAGACACGGCCCAGACCUCCGUACGGGAGGNAG